rnacentral:rRNA from 1 species
UACGUACCGUCCAAACGUUAUUCGGAAUUACUGGGCUUAAAGAGUUCGUAGGCGGCGCAGCAAGUAGGGUGUGAAAGCCCUCGGCUCAACCGAGGAAUUGCGCUCUAAACUACUGUGCUUGAGGAAUCUAGAGGUGAGCGGAACUGAUGGUGGAGCGGUGAAAUGCGUUGAUAUCAUCAGGAACACCGGAGGCGAAGGCGGCUCACUGGGGAUUUUCUGACGCUGAGGAACGAAAGCCAGGGGAGCGAACGGG